UAUAUAUGUGUAUGUGUGUGUGUGUGUGUGUGUGUGCGUGCGCGCGCGCGCGCGUGUGUGUGCGCGCGCGUGCGUGUUCUCUCUCUCUCUCUCUCUCUCUCUCACACACACACACACACACACACACACAAAUAUAUAUAUA